rnacentral:misc_RNA from 1 species
AAAUUAUCAACCAUGACUUGGGUUUAGGCCCUCGUUCACGGCUUGGAUUUGGGUGCUUGCGGCCUCGCGCUGCUCACCUCAAAAGGAUUAGCUGGACAUGUCGCUUGACUUGGUUCUACUUGGCGUAAUAAGUAUUUCGCUGAGGACAUCCCUCGGGGUGGCCAGGACUCGCGGCUGACGUCUGCUUUCUAACUCGACUGUCCUUGGACAUCACUUUUUUAUG